rnacentral:rRNA from 1 species
AGAGUUUGAUCCUGGCUCAGGAUGAACGCUAGCGGCAGGCUUAAUACAUGCAAGUCGUGGGGCAGCAGGGGUAGCAAUACCCGCUGGCGACCGGCAAACGGGUGCGGAACACGUACGCAACCUUCCUUUAACUGGAGAAUAGCCCCUCGAAAGAGGGAUUAAUACUCCGUAACAUAUUGAUAAGGCAUCUUAUUAAUAUUAUAGCUCCGGCGGUUAAAGAUGGGCGUGCGCCUGAUUAGAUAGUUGGCGGGGUAACGGCCCACCAAGUCUGCGAUCAGUAACUGGUGUGAGAGCACGACCAGUCACACGGGCACUGAGACACGGGGCCCCGACUCCCUACGGGGAGGCAGCAGUAAAGGAAUUAUUGGGUCAAUGGGACGCCAGGUCUGAACCAGCCCAUGCCCGCCGUGGGAAGAUUAAAGGGCCCUCCUGGGGUUGGAAAACCUCCCUUUUAUAUCUGGGGAAAGAAAUUCCCCGUUUUUCCUAAUGGUGGGUUGGACAGGUACCAAAAAGAAAUUAAACACCCCGCGUAAACUCUCCUUGCCCCACCACCCGCCGGGAAUAACGGAAGGGGGCAAGCCGGUUUUCCCCGAAAUCCCUGGGGUUUAAAAGGGUGCGCUAAGCGGGGCACGGAAAUCCCCUGGGUGAGAAUACUCUGAGAGCUCUACUUCACAGGACCUGGCACUGGGAUACUAUUUUGUUCUUUGGAAUAAUCGCGGGAUGGUAAGCGGGAAAUAAUGUGCAUUGUUAGCGGCUGAAAUGCUGUAGAUAUUGACCAUAGCAAACCACCUAUUUGGCGAAGGGCAGCCUUUACUUACCACCAGUUAAUUGGACGGCUGAGGCCACGGAAAGAGCGGUGGGGGAAUCCACACCAGGGAUUUAGAUCACCCUUGGGUAGGUCCCACCGUCCCAUCAAACCGAUAGAUUUACUCGGACAUUCAAGGCGAUACCACUGUCUGGGUGUGUUGAGCGAACGGCAUUUAUGUUAUUCCCCCUGCUGGGUGAAGGUAUCGGAUCCGCAAGAUGUGAAAUCUCAAAGGGAAUUGCCGGGGGGUCCGGCACCAAGCCGGGUGGAGCAUUGUGGGUUUAAUUUCGGAUGAUUACGCGCGAGGGACCCUUUACCUGGGGCUUAGAAAUGCCUACUUGGACCGCGCCUGGUGAAAGGCAAGUUUUCCCCGCCAAGGGGCCCGGUAGGUAAGGGUGGCUGGCAUGCCUGUUCGUUCAGCUCCGUGCCGUGGAGGGGGUUGGGUUAAGUCCCCGGCAACGAAGCGGCAACCCCUAUCACUAGUUGCCAUCAGGGUAAUGCUGGGAACUCUAGUGAAACUGCCGCCCGCAAGGCGUGAGGAAGGAGGGGAUGAUGUCAAGUCAUCAUGGCCUUUAUGCCCAGGGCUACACACGUGCUACAAUGGCGGAUACAAAGGGUUGCUACCUGGUAACAGGAUGCUAAUCUCAAAAAAUCCGUCUCAGUUCGAAUUGAGGUCUGCAACUCGACCUCAUGAAGCUGGAAUCGCUAGUAAUCGUAGAUCAGCAAUGCUACGGUGAAUACGUUCCCGGACCUUGUACACACCGCCCGUCAAGCCAUGGAAGCUGGGUGUACCUAAAGUCGAUAACCGUAAGGAGUCGCCUAGGGUAAAACUAGUAACAGGGGCUAAGUCGUAACAAGGUAACC